GAUCCUGGCUCAGGAUGAACGCUAGCGGCAGGCCUAACACAUGCAAGUCGAGGGGCAGCACGUUAAAGAGUUUACUCUUUAUGGUGGCGACCGGCUGACGGGUGCGUAACGCGUAUGCAACCUGCCUGACACAGGGGGAUAAUCCGAGGAAAUUUGGUCUAAUACCCCAUAAUACCGAUAUAGGCAUCUAUGUUGGUUGAAAGCUUUGGUGGUGUCAGAUGGGCAUGCGUUGUAUUAG
rnacentral:rRNA from 1 species